rnacentral:rRNA from 1 species
UUAAAUUGAAGAGUUUGAUCAUGGCUCAGAUUGAACGCUGGCGGCAGGCCUAACACAUGCAAGUCGAACGGUAACAGAAAGCAGCUUGCUGCUUCGCUGACGAGUGGCGGACGGGUGAGUAAUGUCUGGGAAACUGCCUGAUGGAGGGGGAUAACUACUGGAAACGGUAGCUAAUACCGCAUAAUGUCGCAAGACCAAAGAGGGGGACCUUCGGGCCUCUUGCCAUCGGAUGUGCCCAGAUGGGAUUAGCUAGUAGGUGGGGUAACGGCUCACCUAGGCGACGAUCCCUAGCUGGUCUGAGAGGAUGACCAG